rnacentral:lncRNA from 1 species
UGCCUUCCUGGCUGCAAGAAAUUCACUAAAGGAAGCUUUCUUGGCACAUCGUUCCUCAUGCGGAUGCUUCAAGACAGUGGCUUUCACUACUGAAAGGCAACGAGUACCUGGAAUGCAGGUGGUGCCAUCUUGAAGCAUGAGGUUGAGACCAUGCACUACAGAGCAACCAGGAAUUUUAAAGGUUGAAUUUCUAUGAUUCCGUGCCUGAUCUUUUGUGGUUGAGAGGAGGAACAGAGUGGCUGUCACAGAUUUGGCUCUUCUGUCUGUCACAUGGAUUGAAAGCGGAGCCUCCGGAAUUGGAGACUGCUGGGAGGAUACAGAGAACCAGAAAUAUGGAUUCCAAUGAGAACACCGUGCAGAGUUUCUGUAUUAUUUAUCCAACUUCCAUAUAAUCUGACAAUUUAUCAUCUGGGAUACCACCUUUGUUCAAGCCACUGUCACCUUUUACCUGACAUGGUCACUUGGAUCCCCCUGAAAUUCCAUGAGGAAAUAAGAACUGGAGGAGCCUCUCUUUUGCAAUGCUGGACUUGAAAGGAAAGUAGGCAGGGCCAUCAGCUGGGGCAAUGGAAUUGACUGGACGAUAUAUCUCUCAUCAUUCAGAAGGCUAGCCCAAGAUUUUUCACAUGGAGGCUGCAGAGUUCCAAGAAAUACAAGAGUAGAAGCUAUGAGGAGUUUUGUGGCCUAUGUUCAGAACUCAGUUACUUCUGCCACAUUCUAUUUGGUAGCAAGGAUAACAAGAAUAGCUCAGAUUCAAGAAAUGGAAAAACAGAUUCCACCUCUUCAUGACAGGAGCUUCGAUGUGUCAUUGCCAAUUUUAACAAUGUACACAGACUUCUACAGCACUUAUUCUUGCCACGUUGAUACCUCUUCCUCGACCAACAUAUAGGGCUCCAUGGGAACUUCUCCAUUACCACUUGACUAAGGAAGAAAAAAAU